rnacentral:rRNA from 1 species
UACGAGGGGUGCAAGCGUUGCUCGGAAUUAUUGGGCGUAAAGGGUUGGUAGGUGGUCUUGUUUGUCUAGGGUGAAAUCCCAUGGCUUAACUGUGGAAGUGCCCUAGAAACGGCAAGACUAGAGUCCUAGAGGGGUUUGUGGAAUUCCCGGUGUAGCGGUGAAAUGCGUAGAGAUCGGGAGGUACACCAGCGGCGAAGGCGGCAAACUGGAUAGGCACUGACACUCAACAACGAAAGCGUGGGGAGCAAACAGG